rnacentral:lncRNA from 1 species
CCGAACCUAAAACAAACCAUACUAAAUAGCAUUAUGUCGUUAAUCACCAUUCUAAUUGCUUGAAGAGAUAAAUGAAACAGAAAAGAAACAAAAUGACAACCAAAUUCUGAUAAGAACUUGCUUAAUCCUUCAGACAAAUGCAAAAGAUUAGCAGAUUCAAAUAGAUUAAAAAAAACAAUACUAAGAAGAUGUAAGUUAAAAAAAAUAAUAAUAAGAUCAGAUUUGAAUUAUUUUGAGGCUCAGAUGUGUAAACAAUCGAACAAAAAGGAUAAAUCCGCCAUGGCUGCAAACUUACAGGUUGCCCCGCCAAGAUACAGAUAAUCUCAACUUUGAUCGAAUCCACUCAGACACAUUCAAAUAUUCAUCAUCACAGCCUCUUUAGCAGUAGUAGUAGUAAACAGAAAUACAAGAUUUGGUGUUGGAUUUGUGAUGCUCUUAUAGGACUUCUGAGAAUCUUGUAUGGAUGAAUGAAUGAAUGAAAAGAGCUGUUGAUUUCUUAAGAUAACCAAUGUUUGCAUGAAAAACACAAAAUUGGUCUUCGAUUUGAGCAAACUAAAAAGAUGUAAACUUAACUACUUUUAUGUCAAUUUCCCAAAUAGAUACAUGCUAAGAUAUGAAAUCAUCGGCAUAGAAGAACAAUAUUUGACAGAAAAAGUCAAAAUUGAACUUCUAUUUCAUCGCUUCUGAAAUGGCCUCAUUUUGUCUGAGUGGAAGUGUUUACAUUACAAAUUACAAAGUCCAGAUGUUACCUUUGAUUUCCAUCUUUUAUAUAUAGAUCAAGAACACUGUAUACUGUAUGAUCUUGGAUGAGAGGCUCAGAUCUGCAAGUUUGGAAUUCGAAUCGGAGAAAGGGGAUCAGACACCGCCAUGGCUGCAACACCAUUUGUGUUGCCCCGCCAAGUUACGGGCUGAGUUUCACCCAUCGCCGGAAACUGGAGCUCGGAAAAUGUUAAUGCAGAGGAAUAUCAUCAUCGCCUCAACAUUUUUUUGGUACAUGUUGUGUAGAUUUGUAGAGGAUCUGAAGAUCAGAAGAUAAAAUGUUACAAUCGAAACAGGUCCCGGAAAGAAACCUGUUGAUCAGAAGCAGCCAUGAAACUUUGAAUGGAUUGGAGAUGAUCUCUCAUGAAAAAAUAAAUAAAUAAAUAGAAGCGUAUAUUUGAAGAUCCAGAGGGAAAAGAACUUCUGUUUCUGCUUAUGCGCUACAAGGGCUGUUGAUUAGUGUUGAAUAAAGAGAGUCAUGAUCAUCAGCUCAACAUGAUCGGAUUCCGAGUCAUGUUAUGGCAAGAGAGGGGCAACCACCCUCUUGAAACUUCCCGUCUCUCUCGCCGGAGCCUCCAUUUUUUCCGAGCAAACUCAACUCAACUCGCCCAGUUUAUCUGGUUUUUGUGGGUUUAAAAC